UCAUUCCACGAGUUGCAUUUGGAUUUGUGUAAAUUUAACACGAAUAAAUUUUUGCAGGCCACUAGUUUCCGAACAAGGAAGGCUUUCGAGGGCGAGAGGUGUUAUCCAGAGCAUUGCAGUCGACGCUUUGUCCAUGGUGGGUAGAGCAAAGACCGCUUACAAGAUGACCAUGGGCUUUGGCCAAGAUCAAAUUCACGCGUCCUCAGUAUUCAGUAUGCCGAUGGUUUCUUCGUCGCGAAGUUCCUGGAGAAAUCCAUCUCUGUACAACGAUUGGCUUUCGUCUUCUUCUUCGUUCCCCCCUCCCGCAAUCGACGAAGAAGUUUUGACGUCCGAGAGAGUUUCCAUCCCUCAAGACGUAUAGACUUCGGGAGCUACGUGACUCGAUUGCGGCCGAGUCGAGUCCCGUGAGCUGCUGGCGAGCGACGCAUUUGAGUCGUGUACAUUGUUGAAGAAGUUUUCCUGCUGGUGGGCUUGGACCAAGGAAGAAAUGACUGCCUUUGGGUCCGACAACCUACACAGCACAGGAGCAAAGUUUUGGUGGCGGAUCAAAAUUCGCCUUUAUACUUACAUGAGAGCACCGGUAGGCCAAUCUUGUUCCAUAACGAGUCUUCGUGCGUGCAGCAGCUGUUCGCGCUCUCUCUCUGCAAGAUCAAAGUAUAGAAGACGAUGCGCUCUAAGUUUCUCUCA